AUGUUUCAAACUACCACACAUGCCCUUGAUAGGUUUCCUAAUUUUUCUGCCCAUCUUCUUCUUCAGCACAGAUCUUGUUGCAAAAUGCUAAUUAUGUGCAGGAACCAACUCAGGAAAUGCUUGGUCAGACCUGGGGAUGAAUGUGUGGCUGGUCAGGCCUCUGAGUACUGGGAAGGGAUCUCUCAGGAUGAUGUACAAGGAGCUGGUUCAGCACUUGGGUCCAUAAACUUGGAUGCUUGCCUACCUUUUGGAUGCUUUGCCUACCUCGGCAGGAUUUUGACUGCAGUUUGUAAGGAGUGA
rnacentral:lncRNA from 1 species